ensembl:lncRNA
UGUUUCAUGUGGGCGUGACCGCUAAUUAGACCAUCAGCGGCAGCUGUGAGUCAUUCCGGCUCACUAUUUAUUGCCCUGUCUCUCGUCUUGUGUUUGUCAGAUCGUUGUUGCAGUCUCCCAUGUGUGUGCCUGGUCUUUAGUUUGUUGUCUCCUGUUUCACCAUGGGAUCUUCACCUCCGUACUCACCUCAGGAUCGCCCGUCUCAGUCCCUGCGUCAUGGUCUCCUGCUGUCUGGUUCCGGACCCGAGUCUUGGCUAACGAUCUGACCAUUCAUGGAAGCAGCAAGCUCAACCUCGCUGGCGGAUUUCAUCCACCACAGCAUCUCUCGGAUGGAUAAGCAGCAGGAGAGCAUUACCAACACCGGAUGUGCAGUUCAAGCACUUGUGAUGCAGGUAUCUGAGCUCACCUAGUAGAUCCAACUACUUCGCAUUCCCGCUGUGCCGCCCACACCGACUGUUCCCCGCACCGUACCAGAGACGAGUCAGCGCUAAGAGCCCCGCCUACCCGUCCCCAAGAGUUCUGCCGGUGAGCCGAACUUCUGUAGAGCAUUCCUUACCAGAUGUUCUAUGAAUUUCUCAUUGCAGCCCUGAACAUUCGAGACAGAGGAGUCUAAGGUGGCUUUUGUCCUCACGCUGCUUUAGGGAUGGGCAGCCUUGUGGGAAACGGUGGUGUGGGAGAACCGGGACUCAUGUUGCGCCUCAUUCCACGCACUCACCACGGAGAUGAAGAGGGUCUUUGACCAAGCGGUAGCCGGCAAAGAGGCUGCCAGAAGACUCGCAGCUCUGAGACAGGGUGACUAUUCCGUGGCGGACUACUCGAUCGAAUUCCGCACGCUGGCAGCUGAGUGCAAGUGGAACGAGGAGGCGCAGUGGGAUAUGUACCUGCAUGGGAUGGCCGACCGUGUUCAGUGGGAUUUAUAUGCUGGAUUUACCACCUAGACUCAAUGGAUUAAUUGACUUGGCUCUACGGGUGGAUGCUCGCAUUAAUCAGUUGGAGCAACAUGCCCGAUCUACACGCACUCCCUGAAGCACUGGAAGGCGGAGGUCCCAGGGACUCUGUCUUUACUGUGGUGGCUUUGGACAUUUCUUACACUCUUGCCCGGUAAAAGAGCAGGCCCGGUAGUAAAGGUGAGGCUAGUAUCGGGUGGGAUCUCCGCCGGGAAGUCCUCAUCGUCUACUCUGCUUCCGGUGAGACUGAGAUGGGACAACGAAACCUACCCCUGUCAGGCACUCCUGAACUCUGGAGCGAAGGAUAAUUUUAUUGACGCACAUCCGACUCACCAGUUAAGACUCCCUAUCACGCUUCUCUCCCACCAGAUCUGUCAAUGUUCUCAAUGGUCAGGAGCUCCCCAACAUCACACACACUUACUGGUCCCAUAACCCUCAUCACCUCUGGCAAUCACACAGAGAGCCAUCCUUGGCUCGUGAGACAUAACCCUCGGGUGGAUUGGGGCUCUAACUCCGUCACUAUGUGGAGCGAGCACUGUCACGAGUCCUGUCUGGUGUCUGCUUGUUCGUCCAUGUCUGUUUCUGUGUUUCAGGAGAAGGCAGUGGUUCUGUCAAACAUGCCCGUGGAGUACCUGGACCUGAAGGAGGUGUUCAGUAAGUCUCGCGCUGCUUCUCUUCCUCCGCAUCAUCCCUAUGACUGUGCUAUAGAGUUAUUAUCAGGUAAGUCUCCGUUUAAAGGCAAACUUUACUCUCUUUCUAUUCCUGAGAGGGAGGCCAUGUAGAAAUAUAUUUCUGAUUCUCUAGCAACGGGGUUCAUCUGACCUUCCUCUUCUCCUGGGGGGGCGGGGUUCUUUUUUUGUUGGGAAGGAUGGUUCUCUGCAACCUUGUAUUGACUACUGAGAGCUGAACAACAUCACGGUGAAGAAUACGUAUCCUUUGCCAUUGAUGUCUUCAGCUUUCGAGAGGUUGCAAGGAGCAUCCAUUUUCACAAAAUUGGAUUUACAUAACGCUUAUCAUUUGGUUCACAUCAGGAAGGGGGAUGAAUGGAAAACUGCUUUUAACACCCCCAGAGGGCAUUUUGAAUAUUUGGUUAUACCCUUCGGUUUUCCAACUCCCCAGCGGUUUUUCAGG